rnacentral:rRNA from 1 species
UACGUAGGUGGCAAGCGUUGUCCGGAUUUAUUGGGUUUAAAGGGUGCGUAGGCGGCUUUGUAAGUCAGUGGUGAAAUAUGGCAGCUUAACUGUCAAGGUGCCAUUGAUACUGCAGAGCUUGAGUACAGAUGAGGUAGGCGGAAUUGACGGUGUAGCGGUGAAAUGCGCAGAUAUCGGGAGGAACACCUAUGGCGAAAGCAGGUUUCUGGGCCAUCACUGACGCUGAUCUGCGAAAGCUAGGGGAGCAAACAGG